CCCCCUUAUUUUAAGGAACCUCCUGGAUGCAGCGAUGCCCGCGUGAUUGAAGAAGGCCUUUGGGUUGUAAAGCUCUUUUGUAGGGGAAGAUAAUGACUGUACCCUAAGAAUAAGGUCCGGCUAACUUCGUGCCAGCAGCCGCGGUAAUACGAAGGGACCUAGCGUAGUUCGGAAUUACUGGGCGUAAAGCGCGCGUAGGCCGUUGAGUUAGUUAAUUGUGAAAUCCCAAAGCUUAACUUUGGAACUGCAAUUAAAACUGCUCGACUAGAGUUUGAUAGAGGAAAGCGGAAUACAUAGUGUAGAGGUGAAAUUCGUAGAUAUUAUGUAGAACACCAGUUGCGAAGGCGGCUUUCUGGGUCAACACUGACGCUGAGGCGCGAAAGUAUGGGUAGCAAAGAGGAUUAGAUACCCUCGUAGUCCAUACCAUAAACGAUGAUUGCUAGAUGUUGGAAAUUUAUUUUCAGUAUCGCAGCUAACGCAUUAAGCAAUCCGCCUGGGGAGUACGACCGCAAGGUUAAAACUCAAAUGAAUUGACGGGGACCCGCACAAGCGGUGGAGCAUGUGGUUUAAUUCGAAGAUACGCGCAGAACCUUACCAACCCUUGACAUGUCUGUCGCGAGUUUAGGAAACUAGACUUUUCGGUUCGGCCGGACAGAACACAGGUGCUGCAUGGCUGUCGUCAGCUCGUGUCGUGAGAUGUUGGGUUAAGCCCCGCAACGAGCGCAACCCCUACUUUUAGUUGCCAUCAGGUCAUGCUGGGCACUCUGAAAGAACUGCCAGUGAUAAGCUGGAGGAAGGUGGGGAUGACGUCAAGUCCUCAUGGCCCCUUACGGGGUUUGGGGCU
rnacentral:rRNA from 1 species